rnacentral:ncRNA from 1 species
UACCUGGUUGAUCCUGCCAGUAGUCAUAUGCUUGUCUCAAAGAUUAAGCCAUGCAUGUGUAAGUAUGAACAAAUUCAGACUGUGAAACUGCGAAUGGCUCAUUAAAUCAGUGGACUUCUCCUUCCUCUAAAUGAUAAGGUUCAAUGGACUUCUCGCGACGUCCGCCGCGGCUGCUGGCACCAGACUUGCCCUCCAUGUGUUGCUACUACCACCAAGAUCUGCACCGACGGCAAUGGACUUCUCUACACGUCCGCCGCGGCUGCUGGCACCAGACUUGCCCUCCAUGUGUUGAGUGGUGUUCCUGACACGUCCUGAGUCGUGCCGUGGCCAUGUCCUGCGACGUCCUGACACGUGCCAUGGCCACGCCUUGCCACGUC